AUACUUCAAAUGUUGAAUAAGUACUUUGGCACACUUGAGGAUUUAUCCUCAAUAGGACAUCAGUCCUCUAAGAGAGGAAGAAAAUGUAAGGUGCAAAAUUACCGUACUAAUCCUAUGCAGUCUAAGACAGACUAAAGUCAGGUAGAAACAGACAGAUCUAGGAAGAGAAAUCAGCAAAGUGUUACUGGACGAGGUACUUAUAUAAUAAUACCUUAUAAUUUUUCUAUCUGUGAUACUACUAUCUGAGUAUUGAAUACUAAAAGUCCAAUUCAUAUCUGCAAUUCGUUGCAGGGACUGCAGGUUAGUAGAGAAUUUGAGAAGAGCGAACGAUUCUUGAAUAUUGG
rnacentral:lncRNA from 1 species